rnacentral:rRNA from 1 species
UGGGGAAUCUUGCGCAAUGGGCGAAAGCCUGACGCAGCGACGCCGCGUGUGGGAUGAAGGCCUUCGGGUCGUAAACCACUGUCGGGAGGGACGAAGCUCUGACGGUACCUCCAAAGGAAGCACCGGCUAACUCUGUGCCAGCAGCCGCGGUAAUACAGAGGGUGCGAGCGUUGUCCGGAAUCACUGGGCGUAAAGGGCGCGUAGGCGGCCCGAUAAGUAGGAGGUGAAAUCCUGCGGCUUAACCGCAGGGCUGCCUUCUAGACUGUCAGGCUUGAGCACGGUAGAGGCAGAUGGAAUUCCCGGUGUAGCGGUGGAAUGCGUAGAGAUCGGGAAGAACAUCAGUGGCGAAGGCGGUCUGCUGGGCCGUUGCUGACGCUGAGGCGCGACAGCGUGGGGAGCAAACAGGAUUAGAUACCCCCGUAGUCC